CUCCCCCGGGGGAAGGGCGACUUCCGGGUGUGGGGGGUGGUUUCCGCCGGACGGAACGCUGCUCCAGCCCUGUUGGUUCCGGACCCUGAGGCGGGGACGCGGAGUGCCCCGGUUUUCUGCCAGAGAGGCCCGGUCCUGCGCUGCCAAUGGAGAACUGAAAGACAGAGAUCAAGGCCAAGAUUUCAUUGAAAAUGCAAUGUCUGCUUAUCUCUGAAGACAUGGGCCUAAAUGAUUUUACCGUAGGACUGCUAUGGGUCUGCUUAGUCAGAUAAAGCUGCUCAGAGGACAAACACAUUACACAAGUGCAAGUCUUUGGACAGACAUGCCCGGAAAGUUUGGGGACAGCUCAAGAGAAGAUGAAUAGUUCAUAAAUAUGCAGAGUCAUCAUUAGUUGGUUUGCAUGGAGUAGAAGCCAUGGUCUGCGUGAUAGCUAGACCAGAAGCUAUACAGGUUUGUGUGCUGGAAUAAUGCUGUUCACUUUAUUCACAUGAAUGAUUCCACUGAAGAAAGUGGGAAGUCUGCAUGAGCACAGAGGAUCCACCCACAUAGAGUCAAUUUCAGCAUUGGGCCUUUAGAACAUCCUACUCUUGAUCAUUGUAGAAACCUCCCUACAGCAGUGUGAGUUCCACUACAGACUUAAAAAUAGCAUAUAACCCCUGGGCUAUAUAAUUAAAUAUGAAAUAUGUCACUUCACCAAUGAGUACAGCACUUUGAAAAAAAGUAUUCAUAUUUCAUAAAUUUCAUAGACAUUAGGGCUGGAAGGGACCUCGGAAGAUCAUUGAGUCCAGCCCCCUGCCCCAUGGGCAGGAAGUCAGCUAGGA